GAUGAACGCUGGCGGCGUGCUUAACACAUGCAAGUCGAGCGAAGCGCUUUGGAAAGAUUCUUCGGAUGAUUUCCUUUGUGACUGAGCGGCGGACGGGUGAGUAACGCGUGGGUAACCUGCCUCAUACAGGGGGAUAACAGUUAGAAAUGACUGCUAAUACCGCAUAAGACCACGGUACCGCAUGGUACAGUGGUAAAAACUCCGGUGGUAUGAGAUGGACCCGCGUCUGAUUAGGUAGUUGGUGGGGUAACGGCCUACCAAGCCGACGAUCAGUAGCCGACCUGAGACGGGUGACCGGCCACAUUGGGACUGAGACACGGUCCAGACUCUACGGNGGCAGCAGUGGGGAAU
rnacentral:rRNA from 1 species